rnacentral:rRNA from 1 species
UACGUAGGCGGCGUCAUAAGUCAGGGGUGAAAGCCCACAGCUCAACUGUGGAAUUGCCUUUGAUACUGUGGUGCUUGAAUCAGGUUGAGGUAGGCGGAAUGUGGCAUGUAGCGGUGAAAUGCUUAGAUAUGCCAUAGAACACCGAUUGCGAAGGCAGCUUACUGGACCUGCAUUGACGCUCAGGCACGAAAGCGUGGGGAGCGAACAGGAUUAGAUACCCUGGUAGUCC